rnacentral:rRNA from 1 species
GAUGAACGCUAGCGGCAGGCCUAAUACAUGCAAGUCGAACGGUGUCUUCGGACAUAGUGGCGCACGGGUGCGUAACACGUAUGCAACCUACCUUACAUUGGGGGAUAGCCUUUCGAAAGGGGGAUUAAUACCGCAUAAGACAGUAGCUGGGCAUCCAGCAGCUGUUAAAGAUUUAUCGAUGUAAGCUGGGCAUGCGUCCAAUUAGCUAGUUGGUGAGGUAACGGCUCACCAAGGCAAUGAUUGGUAGGGGAACUGAGAGGUCAAUCCUCCACACUGGCACUGAGAUGCGGGCCAGACUCCUACGGGAGGCAGCAGUAGGGAAUAUUGGGCAAUGGACGCAAGUCUGACCCAGCCACGCCGCGUGCAGGAUGAAGGCGUUAUGCGUUGUAAACUGCUUUUAUACAGGAAGAAACGACUCUUGCGAGAGGCAUUGACGGUACUGUAUGAAUAAGCACCGGCUAACUCCGUGCCAGCAGCCGCCGUAACAC